rnacentral:rRNA from 1 species
GAUGAACGCUGGCGGCGUGCCUAAUACAUGCAAGUCGAGCGAACAGACGAGGAGCUUGCUCCUCUGACGUUAGCGGCGGACGGGUGAGUAACACGUGGAUAACCUACCUAUAAGACUGGGAUAACUUCGGGAAACCGGAGCUAAUACCGGAUAAUAUAUUGAACCGCAUGGUUCAAUAGUGAAAGACGGCUUUGCUGUCACUUAUAGAUGGUUCCGCGCCGCAUUAGCUAGUUGGUAAGGUAACGGCUUACCAAGGCAACGAUGCGUAGCCGACCUGAGAGGGUGAUCGGCCACACUGGAACUGAGACACGGUCCAGACUCCUACGGGAGGCAGCAGUAGGGAAUCUUGCGCAAUGGGCGAAAGCCUGACGGAGCAACGCCGCGUGAGUGAUGAAGGUCUUCGGAUCGUAAAACUCUGUUAUUAGGGAAGAACAAAUGUGUAAGUAACUAUGCACGUCUUGACGGUACCUAAUCAGAAAGCCACGGCUAACUACGUG